UACGUAGGGUGCGAGCGUUGUCCGGAAUUACUGGGCGUAAAGAGCUCGUAGGUGGUUUGUCGCGUUGUUCGUGAAAACUCACAGCUUAACUGUGGGCGUGCGGGCGAUACGGGCAGACUGGAGUACUGCAGGGGAGACUGGAAUUCCUGGUGUAGCGGUGAAAUGCGCAGAUAUCAGGAGGAACACCGGUGGCGAAGGCGGGUCUCUGGGCAGUAACUGACGCUGAGGAACGAAAGCGUGGGUAGCGAACAGG
rnacentral:rRNA from 1 species